CUCGCUAUUUUAAUUUCUUCCACCGUUCUGGUCACCCUCUACUCUUCUCGCUGUCCCUGUUUCACUCUCCGCUACGUUUAUCAAUAUCUCCUUCUCUCUGUCUCACCUUCCGCUAGCUCCACGAGUCUUUCGCUUGUACGCUUCGCUACUGUUUCUGUUUAUCCCUCCUUCUUGCUUUCCCGCCCCGGUAUUCUACCUAUGUAUAUCUCUUCGUCUUGUUCCCCGGUUUCACCCCAUGUAGCGGUGCGCCGCGGCGCGGCGCGGCACGGCGCUGCCAGCUCCGGCCGGUGGUUUUCUACGCUACUUUCUCGUUUUACUUGAGAUUUCGGUCUCAAUUCGUACGAAGUGAUCUUCUUUUUGUUAUAAAAUCGACAGGAACUGCAACAUGUAUUGUGUACAGCGAUUGAGUUCUCGGUGCUCAUAGACAGGCAGAUUGCGUUACGUCACAUCCUGUGGAUUUCACGGGACGCAGUAGUUAUGUUCGGCCGUUGCACCUUGCCGCGUGGCUGUUGACAACGCGCUUGGACACCUGUACCUGAUGUUGCUUUACAGACAGGUGGACCGGAUGACUGCGAUAGAAAUCCCCGGGACUGAUAAACAACAUCGGUGGAGAUGGUAGGGUACGUGCGCGUUGGAUUCGAGGCCGAGUUACGACAUAAGUUGGCAGCGGCAUCGAUGACAGGACAACGUGCGACGUCGUCGGAUGGUCCCUGGGAGACGGAGAGAUGAGAUGCUUUUCGGUAGAUUUUAAGACAUCAGCUAACAUGAAUUUCGGCUAUGGAACGGAGUUUUAUGUACGGAAAAAAAGAAACUUAUCCAAUUAUAUCUACAUUAUGUAACAAAGUGUGUGCAAAUCUUCAUUUGCUGGAAACCUUGAGAUGACUGCCGGUUUCGUUUUCAUUAGUAUCGCGUCUCGAAAUUAUGUUACUUUUUUUACUUAUUUUGUGUUCAAUUUUGUUUGCUAAGCAUUCAAAAUUGAAUCUUUUUAUACAUGGAAAGUUUAUAAUUCACCUCGAUGUCUGCUAGAAGAUCAUGAGCUUAAUAAUUAGGGUCGUAGCCAGAAUUCUCACUUAGAUCUAUUAUACUUUUAUUUGUCCAAUGAAACUAUUCAA